rnacentral:rRNA from 1 species
AGUUUCCUUCGGGAGGCGAGUAGAGUGGCGCACGGGUGAGUAACACGUAGGUAAUCUACCUUUGGAUGGGGAAUAACAACCGGAAACGGUUGYUAAUACCGCAUAAUGCAKCGGCACCUAAUGGUGACAGUUGUUAAAGCGGGGGAUCGAAAGACCUCGCGUCUGAAGAGGAGCCUGCGGCGGAUUAGCUAGUUGGUAAGGUAAUGGCUUACCAAGGCGAUGAUCCGUAACCGGCCUGAGAGGGCGGUCGGUCACACUGACACUGACAUACGGGUCAGACUCSUACGGGAGGCAGCAGUCGGGAAUUUUGGGCAAUGGGCGAAAGCCUGACCCAGCAACSCCGCGUGAAGGAUKAAAUCCCUCGGGAUGUAAACUUCGCAAGAACAGGAAGAAUAAGUAAGGGUUAAUAUCUCU